rnacentral:lncRNA from 1 species
GUGCUGACAAUUGAGCCCAGUGCCUCACACAUGCUAGGCAAGCACUCUACCACUGACCCAAACCCCAGCACCAUCAGCCUAUUCUUUAAGAAGAAAGGAUGUUCAUAACCUGUUAGUGUCAAGAAAGCCAAAGGAGCACAUGUACUAGUCUCUGGGGAGUAGUAGCCUUCUAGGGCAGGCUCCCUGACUGUGUGUUAAUUAAGUGUCCUGGUCCAUGUGGGCAAGAUGAAAGUCAACCUCAGUGUGAACUGGGAAGCGCAGAGCUGAUGACCAAAGAGAGCUGUUCUUUGACAUUGCAUUUCCUUCAUCUAUCGUGUUUAGCAUGAGGAAGAUUUUUUUUUUUCCUUGUGGAAAUUGAGUUAAUAGGUGGUAAAUAAAUAUCUUAGUUGCUUCUGAUGUGGCUGAGGAGCACUUUCAAGUGUUUAAAAAACUGGUUUCUGUAUACCAUUCUAUAGCUAAUUGCAAUUCUUAUGAAACCUUCUCAUAGGCUGUUUCUGGUUUUAUUGGGAUUUUUUUCAGCUGCAUUGUGAAUUGGAUGAAGGACAUUUUCCCUUCUUAUAAAUGGUUUUGUGGAAUUUUGAGAUUUGGGUUUUUAUUCACAUUUGAAGGGAAUAAAUCAACCAGCCUUAAGAACAUGACAUCUUUCUGAUGGAUAGAAGCAAUUCAAGGAAGAAUAAGGAUGAUGUCUUUUAGAAAUGCUAUAGGAAUAUUUGUUUGGGGGUCAAUAAAUAACAUGCUUAG